rnacentral:rRNA from 1 species
CCAAUAGCGUAUAUUAGAGUGGUUGCAGUUAAAAAGCUCGUAGUUGAAUUUCGGGACCAGUAUGUCGGUCGUGCUUCGGUACGUACUUGCAUUAUUGGUUUCUCCCUUCUGACGAACCAUGAUGUCAUUAAUUUGGUGUCAUGGGAAAUCAGGACUGUUACUUUGAAAAAAUUAGAGUGUUUAAAGCAGGCUCGCGCUUGAAUACAUUAGCAUGGAAUAAUGAAAUAGGACGUUUGAUUCUAUUUUGUUGGUUUCUAGGAUCGACGUAAUGAUUAAUAGGGAUAGUUGGGGGCAUUAGUAUUCAAUUGUCAGAGGUGAAAUUCUUGGAUUUAUUGAGGACUAACUACUGCGAAAGCAUUUGCCAAGGAUGUUUUCAUUAAUCAAGAACGAAAGUUAGGGGAUCGAAGACGAUCAGAUACCGUCGUAGUCUUAACCAUAAACUAUGCCGACUAGGGAUCGGAUGAUGUUAAUUUUUAAUGACUCAUUCGGCGCCUUACG